AAGUCGUAACAAGGUUUCCGUAGGUGAACCUGCGGAAGGAUCAUUAUCGAAUAUCUAUGGCGUUGGUUGUAGCUGGCUCCUAGGAGCAUUGUGCACGCCCCGUCAUUCAUAUCAUCUUUCCACCUGUGAACCAUGUGUAGGCCUGGAUACCCUCGCUUUGGCAGCAAAGCGGAUGCAAGGAUUGCUGCGCCGACUAGGCCGGCUCUCUUUGAAUUUCCAGGUUCUAUGUCUUUUACACACCCCAUUUGAAUGAUUUAGAAUGUAGUCAAUGGGCUUUCAUGCCUAUARAAAACUAUACAACUUUCAGCAACGGAUCUCUUGGCUCUCGCAUCGAUGAAGAACGCAGCGAAAUGCGAUAAGUAAUGUGAAUUGCAGAAUUCAGUGAAUCAUCGAAUCUUUGAACGCACCUUGCGCUCCUUGGUAUUCCGAGGAGCAUGCCUGUUUGAGUGUCAUUAAAUUCUCAACCUCACCAGUUUUGUAACGAGACAGGUGUAGGCUUGGAUGUGGGGGUUUUGCAGGCUGCACUCAGUGCUGGUCUGCUCUCCUGAAAUGCAUUAGCGAGCUCAUAUUGAGCUUCCGUCUAUUGGUGUGAUAAUUAUCUACGCCGUGGAUUGGACUCAUGCUUGCUUCUAACCGUCCGCAAGGACAAUUUACUUGACCAAUUUGACACUCAAAUCAGGUAGGACUACCCGCUGAACUUAAGCAUAUCAAUAAGCGGAGGAAAAGAAACUAACAAGGAUUCCCUAGUAACUGCGAGUGAAGCGGGAAAAGCUCAAAUUUAAAUCUGGUGGUCUCUGGCCAUCCGAGUUGUAAUCUAGAGAAGUGUUACCCGCG
rnacentral:rRNA from 1 species